rnacentral:rRNA from 1 species
UACAGAGGUCCCAAGCGUUGUUCGGAUUUACUGGGCGUAAAGGGUGCGUAGGUGGUGAGACAAGUCUGAUGUGAAAGCUCGGAGCUUAACUCCGAAAUGGCAUUGGAAACUGUCUUGCUGGAGGAUUGGAGGGGGGACUGGAAUACUUGGUGUAGCAGUGAAAUGCGUAGAUAUCAAGUGGAACACCAGUGGCGAAGGCGAGUCCCUGGACAAUUCCUGACACUGAGGCACGAAAGCUAGGGGAGCAAACGGG